rnacentral:rRNA from 1 species
AGAGUUUGAUCAUGGCUCAGAACGAACGCUGGCGGCGUGGAUAAGACAUGCAAGUCGGACGGGACUUUUCGCUGUAGCAAUACAGUGGAAAGUUCAGUGGCGAACGGGUGCGUAACACGUGGGCAAUUUGCCUUAAAGUGUGGGAUAGCUCGGCGAAAGCCGGAUUAAUACCGCAUGUGGCUACUGGAGACAUCUUCGGGACGCUAAAGGUGGCGCAAGCUACCGCUUUUUGAGAAGCCCGCGGCCUAUCAGCUUGUUGGUGAGGUAACGGCUCACCAAGGCGUUGACGGGUAGCUGGUCUGAGAGGACGACCAGCCACACUGGGACUGAGACACGGCCCAGACACCUACGGGUGGCAGCAGUCGAGAAUUUUUGACAAUGGGGGAAACCCUGAUCGAGCGACGCCGCGUGGAGGAUGAAGGUCUUCGGGUUGUAAACUCCUGUCAUUUGGGAACAAGGCGUAUUUAUUAACUGUAAGUACGUUGAUAGUACCAGAAGAGGAAGAGACGGCUAACUCUGUGCCAGCAGCCGCGGUAAUACAGAGGUCUCAAGCGUUGUUCGGAUUCAUUGGGCGUAAAGGGUGUGUAGGUGGCGCGCUAAGUCGGGUGUGAAAUUUCGGAGCUUAACUCCGAAACUGCAUUCGAUACUGGCGUGCUUGAGGACUGGAGAGGAGACUGGAAUUUACGGUGUAGCAGUGAAAUGCGUAGAUAUCGUAAGGAAGACCAGUGGCGAAGGCGGGUCUCUGGACAGUUCCUGACACUGAGACACGAAGGCCAGGGGAGCAAACGGGAUUAGAUACCCUAGUAGUCC